rnacentral:tRNA from 1 species
GGUUGUGGCUCAGUGGUAGAGCACUCACCUAGCACGUGCGAGGUGCUGGGUUUGAUCCUCAGCACCA